rnacentral:rRNA from 1 species
AUGAAGACUUUUGUGACUGAGCGGCGGACGGGUGAGUAACGCGUGGGUAACCUGCCUCAUACAGGGGGAUAACAGUUAGAAAUGACUGCUAAUACCGCAUAAGCGCACAGCAUCGCAUGAUGCAGUGUGAAAAACUCCGGUGGUAUGAGAUGGACCCGCGUCUGAUUAGUUAGUUGGUGGGGUAACGGCCUACCAAGGCGACGAUCAGUAGCCGACCUGAGAGGGCGACCGGCCACAUUGGGACUGAGAUACGGCCCAGACUCC